UUUUUUAGUACAAUAAAAUGAAAUAUCCACGAACCUCAUCCUUUCUCGGCAACCCUCAUCCUUUUCCUACCCUUCCCUUGCCCAGUUUGUACUCCUUUCUCUCCGUUCUCUUGUCAAACGCGCAGGAUGCAUGGCCAUUAGACACUUGAGGUGAUUGGUAAUGGAAAACCUCACAGCCAGCGAAAUAGCCGGGUUUGGAGUCGGCGCUCUACUGCUCUGCGCCACCGUCGCGGCCCCUAGAGUGGACGCCUUCAUCUCCUCCUCUCAAAGAAGUUCUCUGGGAAUGUGCAAGAGAUGUGGUGAUCUUAGGAUGAUAGCUUGCUCGCAAUGUAAGGGAGUAGGUUCCGUCAAAAAAGGAGGGCCAUUUGAUUUCAGCAUGCUUUAUGAUUUUUUUGAGCCACCUGGAGAUGGAAGCAUGCCAAAACAGUUGAUACCAUGUAAGAAAUGUCAAUCUAAAGGGCGCAUGCAAUGUCCUGAUUGCUCCAGGCUUCCAUUAAUUCAUCCACAGAGUGAUCCUGAAAGCUAAGUUCAUGGCAUGUCACAUUAGGAAAUGGAUUUGCUCAGUUGUGUGUCAGCAUCUAAAUCUACCCUUCCUGGAAGGAAGGCAGCAAACUUGAGGGAGAGUGAAACAUAGACAAGGGUCAAAUUGGGAGAUUGGGAUCAGAAGUCAAGCUUUUGGUAAUACUGCAAUCCUGUUAUGGUGGCUACCAUCAUCAGUGAUCAUUAUAAUGGUUACAGUGGUUGUUCUUUUCUCAGGCGUCUGCGAAUGUUAUUAUUUAGAAAAAGAAUAAUUUACAGCAGUCAUUAUUGUCGAUAUUGUAAAAAGUAACGAUCGGUGAUAGAAAAAUGUGUUAUCUGCUUCGCUCACCGUUCACCAACUAAGAGAAUAUUUUUACUAGCUGCAACAGUUUAGGAUCUGAUCAGAUGUUUCUCGAUGACAAAAUCGAUUAAUGAAUAAUACUUGUAUAGCAA